CAAGAGCCAGAGCUGGAGCCAGGCCUCUGGUCGUAAACUAAACAACAGAACCAGUUAUUGGUUUCAAGUCUGACUGCCUCCUCUUGUAAGGACUUUGGAACUUGGAGAAGCUCCCUUACCCUUUAUAAGCCAGCAGAAAGAAGUAAAAGAAACAGCUGCUGUUAUCCAGAGUAAAUCAGUCACAAAGAAACCUGCUCCUCAUUCUGUCUCCUGGUUUCCCAUAAAUGCCUGAAGCCCAGCCUUGGAGUUGAGGAAAGACCAUGUGAGGACACAGAGGGAAGCUGGUCAUCUACAAGCCAGAAAGGGUGGUCUCAGAAGAAACAAACCCUAGCACCUUGAUCUUGGACUUCUAGUCUCCAGAAC